rnacentral:rRNA from 1 species
CCUACGGGGGGCAGCAGUGGGGAAUAUUGGGCAAUGGGCGCAAGUCUGACCCAGCAACGCCGCGUGAAGGAAGAAGGCUUUCGGGUUGUAAACUUCUUUUCUGGGGGACGAGGAAAAGACGGUACCCCCUGAAUAAGCCCCGGCUAACUACGUGCCAGCCGCCGAGGUAAUACGUAGGGUGCAAGCGUUGUCCGGAUUUACUGGGUGUAAAGGGCGUGCAGGCGGAGAGACAAGUCCGAUGUGAAAACCCCGGGCUCAACCCCUGAACUGCAUUUGAAAAUGUUUGUUUUGAGUGUCGGAGAGGUAAUCGGAAUUCCGUGUGUAGCGGUGAAAUGCGUAGAUAUAAGGAAGAACACCAGUGGCGAAGGCGGAUUACUGGACGGUAACUGACGGUGAGGCGCGAAAGCGUGGGGAGCAAACAGGAUUAGAUACCCGAGUAGUC